rnacentral:lncRNA from 1 species
AUGUAUAUUGUUUGGAUUGCAUUUUCAGGUCUGGCUCCUCCUAACCAGGUCAGAGAAGGUGUGGUCACGGACUCAUCCAUAGAGCUGCUUUGGGAUCCAGCACAAGGAGAUUCUCAUGGUUAUGAAGUCAUGUGCCUCAACUGUGAGCAGCCACACAGGGUGCAGAAGGUGUCCAGUCAGAAUGCAGUGUUUUCUAGUCUGAUCCCAGGGACACGCUUCCAUUUUGUAGUACGAACAGAGAAGGAGUCCUUCACAGACAGUUACCCAGUAACCAUUAACAUCACCGCCGGUAUACCAACCCCCCACCCCCCCACCCCCACUAUACACACACACAAACUUUCAAACUUUCAUUCUUUACUGCAUAAUUUCAGCUCCCAGCCCAGUGGAGGUGUCUCUUCUCAAUAAAACCACAUCAUCCAUAUGUAUUGCUUGGAAUAUGAUCAGGGGUGUGGUGAGCGGAUUUAUCUUGUCAAUCACAAAUGCAACAUCCAGUGAGGAGCUGAUCAUUUCUCAGGAGGGGCACAGGUCGGUCUGUCCUACCUUUAUUCCAUUUUAUAAGAAUUGCUCUGAAGAAUACUUAAAAUGUGUGUGUGUGCACCUGUGUCUGUGUCUGUGUGUUCACAGAAAUUACAGUUUUGAAGGCCUUGCCCCUGGAAGCCAAUACACAAUUAAAGUGAUCAGCAUCAGCGGGGAAAAACGUAGUAAACCUUCUGACAUUAUCCUCCAUACUAGUACGUUGAAUAUGUACUGUGAGUCACAUGUGCGCAUAGAUAAUAGAUAUCCUUGACAACAGACAUCACUGAUAAAGGGAAACAUGAUUUUUCAGCUGUUCCAGUCUCGGCUUAGUUUCUGUCAUACAGGGUUGGUGGCUCAAAACAAUCCCUUGAACGUCUCCAUCAUAAUAUUAAUACCUGUUUGUCAUGUAGUUCCAGAGGUGCCGCAGGAAGUGGUUCUUUCAGGGCAGGUCGUCACAUCUGUGUUUGUCACCUGGAGACCGCCACCAGGAGGAGUGAAGGGGUACAAGAUUGUUUUCGGUCUGCUCUCUGCGGACCGGAGACUGUGGGUCGAGCAGCUUGUCCAGGGUACAAGUUAUGAGAUCACGGAUUUGAUCCCGGGGUCAGACUACUGUGUCAGCAUUCAGAGUGUGCUGGGAUUAGACGCAAGUCGGGCAAUACACAGAGAGUUCAGCACAAGUGAGAGACGCUUUGAUGAAAAAAUGGUUGAGGCAAAAAUCUUUUUGUAUCUGAAGGCUGCCUGUAAUCUUGUUGCAGAGCCAUCAGGAUUAUGCCCCCUACGCUUGGCAGACGUGACCUCUUCAUCAUUCUCCGUUUCCUGGGACAGUGCUUAUGGAGAGUUUGACUUCCACAGAGUCACUGUAACAAACACCUCAGUUACCAACACACUCGUCAUACCAAAGAAAGAGCGAGUUGCCGUGGUGACUGGACUGGUAGAAGGCUGCACCUAUAACGUGAGCGUUGAGAGAGUGAGAGGAGGGACAGCUGGAAGUGCUGCCUCUCUAAGGUUCAGCACAGGUAGUUGAUGCUCAAAGGAUACAAGGUUAUUGUCCCCUUCCCUCAUGGCCACUUAAUUAAAUGUCCUCUUCCUGUUAAUUCCCACCUGCCCUCCCCUGUCUUCAGUGCCAGCCAGCGUGCAAGGCAUGCAUAUUUUGAAUGUGUCAGCACGUGCAUUCUCACUGCGAUGGGAACAGGCGAAGGGGUGUGUGGAUCACUACUGGGUAAACCUGCAGCCAAACAAAGGAAAAGUAAUAGUGCAUCCUGCACACGACGGAUAUAUUCAGGUACACAAACAGGCUAGAUUCUUGACACCCUACCUCAAAUUUACUUUGCACGCAUGUCAAUAAGUUGAUACAGUUUAAAUAUGUUCAGUCUGUACAAUGUU